GUUGUGGCUCAGUGGUAGAGUGCUCGUCUAGCACCUACAAGGCCCUGGGUUUGAUUCUCAGCAUACA
rnacentral:tRNA from 1 species